rnacentral:precursor_RNA from 8 species
UUUCCUCUGUUGCACAGUAUUGGGUUGGCUAAAAAGUUUGUUUGGGGUUUUCAUUACAUCUUAUGGAAAAACCUGAAUGAACUUAUUGGCCAACUCAAUACAUGCUUGAUCCUGUCUUA